CAAUAGCGUAUAUUUAAGUUGUUGCAGUUAAAAAGCUCGUAGUUGGAUUUCGGGUAGGAUUUGCCGGUCCGUCUUUGAGAUGUGUACUGGUAAGUCCUAUCUUCUUGUCGGGGACUAGCUCCUGGGCUUCACUGUCCGGGACUAGGAGCUGACGAGGUUACUUUGAGUAAAUUAGAGUGUUCAAAGCAAGCCUACGCUCUGAAUACAUUAGCAUGGAAUAACACGAUAGGACUCUGGCUUAUCUUGUUGGUCUGUGAGACCAGAGUAAUGAUUAAGAGGGACAGUCGGGGGCAUUCGUAUUUCAUUGUCAGAGGUGAAAUUCUUGGAUUUAUGAAAGACGAACUUCUGCGAAAGCAUUUGUCAAGGAUGUUUUCAUUAA
rnacentral:rRNA from 1 species